rnacentral:ncRNA from 1 species
CAUGAGACUUAAACAAUUUGAGCCCGCUGGUCGAAAGGCCGGUGGUGAAACCUGUCAAAUUCGGUGAAACCCCUGACAUCACGUCGAGGCAAUGCCGAGCGAAGCCUGGCGCAAGCCGGGAACGUGUAGAGACUAGACGGCAGGCACCUACCGCGCGCGAGCGCCACGGUGAAGGCAUAGUCCAGACCACGAACAGUUGCCG